CGGGUGAGUAACACGUAGGUAAUGUGUCUUUGGGUGGGGAAUAACUUAGGGAAACUUAAGCUAAUACCGCAUAAUGCAGCGGCUCCUUAUGGAGACAGUUGUUAAAGAUUUAUCGCCUAAAGAGCAGCCUGCGGCAGAUUAGCUAGUUGGUAAGGUAAUGGCUUACCAAGGCUACGAUCUGUAUCCGACCUGAGAGGGUGGUCGGACACACUGACACUGAAUAACGGGUCAG
rnacentral:rRNA from 1 species